GGUUGCGAUCAUACCAGCACUAACGCACCGGAUCCCAUCAGAACUCCGCAGUUAAGCGUGCUUGGGCGAGAGUAGUACUAGGAUGGGUGACCCCUUGGGAAGUCCUCGUGUUGCAACCCC
rnacentral:rRNA from 1 species